rnacentral:misc_RNA from 1 species
GUGAAUCAUCGAAUCUUUGAACGCACAUUGCGCCCCUUGGUAUUCCGGGGGGCAUGCCUGUUCGAGCGUCAUUUCAACCCUCAAGCUCUGCUUGGUCUUGGGCCGCGCCGGCAACGGCGGGCCUCAAACACAGUGGCGGCGCCCUCGUGUCCCUCAGCGUAGUAAUUCUUCUCGCUGCUGGGCCGCGGUGGCCGCUGGCCAGCAACCCCCGAUUUUUCUAUGGUUGACCUCGGAUCAGGUAGGGAUACCCGCUGAACUUAAGCAUAUCAAUAAGCGGAGGA